rnacentral:rRNA from 1 species
AUUGAACGCUGGCGGCAGGCCUAACACAUGCAAGUCGAGCGGAUGAAGGAAGCUUGCUCCUGGAUUCAGCGGCGGACGGGUGAGUAAUGCCUAGGAAUCUGCCUGGUAGUGGGGGAUAACGUCCGGAAACGGGCGCUAAUACCGCAUACGUCCCGAGGGAGAAAGUGGGGGAUCUUCGGACCUCACGCUAUCAGAUGAGCCUAGGUCGGAUUAGCUAGUUGGUGGGGUAAAGGCCUACCAAGGCGACGAUCCGUAACUGGUCUGAGAGGAUGAUCAGUCACACUGGAACUGAGACACGGUCCAGACUCCUACGGGAGGCAGCAGUGGGGAAUAUUGGACAAUGGGCGAAAGCCUGAUCCAGCCAUGCCGCGUGUGUGAAGAAGGUCUUCGGAUUGUAAAGCACUUUAAGUUGGGAGGAAGGGCAGUAAGUUAAUACCUUGCUGUUUUGACGUUACCAACAGAAUAAGCACCGGCUAACUUCGUG